rnacentral:rRNA from 1 species
UACGUAUGGGGCGAGCGUUGUUCGGAUUUAUUGGGCGUAAAGGGCGCGUAGGCGGUUCGGAAAGCCUGGUGUGAAAGACUCUGGCUUAACCAGGGGUGUGCGCUGGGAACUACCGGACUGGAGUUUAGGAGGGGAAGCUGGAAUUCCUGGUGUAGGGGUGAAAUCUGUAGAUAUCAGGAAGAACACCGGAGGCGAAGGCGAGCUUCUAUCCAUAGACUGACGCUGAGGCGCGAAAGCGUGGGGAG